UGUUUGUUGUCAAAUAACAGCUGAUAUUUUAUCGAGUUAGCAGUGAUCUUGGUGCUGGGGAACUCUUCCUUGGGACCCCUUACCUUCCUUACUCCUGCCUUGGAAAGCUCUCACCAGAAGUACUGUACCUUCUGUAAGUAAUAGGUCUCCAACAAAAUUAGUACUGACAGAUGUUCUUUGAAAUUUGGGGGAAGGGUCUUCAUUUUCUGGAGAAAUCAAAAUGUUCAAGUUGUUCACUCCGAGCUGCGGGCUGGAUUCUUGUAUCUGCAGUGUGGAAUUCUCUCUCUUACAUAUUCUAAACAAAGCCCUGCUGUCAGAUGCUCCGCCGAUGCUUCUGGGAACUCUCCCUGCAAAAUGAGUCAGAAUUCACCACUCAGAUUGCUUCUCAAGAGCAAGGAGAUGGGUUUGGUGGCUUGGCAGUAAUUGCUCUUUUGUCCUUCGGCUCCAGGAAUUCGCAGCGACAGGAGACAAGGCACUGAGCCAUGAAACAGAAUCAUUAGUCAAAUAUGAGUGGGAGAGAGGUUUUUGCUUUGGAUACCAGAGUAAGUGGCUUAUCUCUCUGCACUACACACCUUCUACUCUCCCAGUAUCGAAACUGAGUUUUAAAUAUACAUAACGGAUUUCUUCCCAGAGCACCGUGCCCCAGAUAUGACGGUGAAUUAUUUACUGAGCGGCUUAAAUCUAAAAGUUACUUUGUAGGGGACAGUUUCCUGCCCAGAAACCUGGAUAAAACUCUUUUCAGUAGACAGCCUGGUUAUCUAGUUCCAGCAUCCUAACUGGAAGCAUGCUGGCCACAAAUUAGUGGAAGGAAUUUUGUAGGAGAAAAUAAAAUCCACGUUACAUAUUCUGCCACCAAGAAAUCCCAGGAACAGUAUGUUUCUGCAAGAUCUUUGAUGGCGUCUGGAGGGAUUCCAUCUUGAGACAUUCUACUGGCGGAGGCCUUCCCAGCAAAGCCUGCUGCCCACUCUCUCCUCCCACUCAUGCAAGAAGCCUGUUGCUCUUUUGCUGUCCUCUGCUCUCCACGGGUAUCUUAGAAGGCAAGGGCUUUGGCACAGAUGUCCACUUCACUUUGGAUCCAUUGUCUUACUCAUCCAUCCGGGCACUCAUAGUCUCGCUGCAGUUCCAGACAUUAGCAGGCAGGGUUUUGUCUGCUGGGGAUGGAAAGAGGAAAGUGGAGAUGACCUGACUUGUCCGCUCAAGUGCCGCGCUAUUUGGAUGAGGAGCACUGCCGGUGUGCUGAGUUAGUGCCUUGGGAGACACUGCAGAUGGGAUUCCUAUUCUUCACUUACUAGCGUAUCUACCAUGUCAGGAUUGAUGUAGGUGACAGGGAGACCUUCCAGAUGGUGGAGCCACAGGAGGUAAGGACGUGGCCUUCAAACUGGAACACCUGCCCUGCACAAUUAUGGGAAAAAUAAACAACUUUGAGGAAUCUCCAGCUUCUUUUGUUGUAAAGAGAAGUGGUUAAGAAGAAUACCAGAAAUAAAAGAAUUGGUUUAUAGGCAAAUCUGUGGAAAAUUAGCCAGUUGAAUUCAGAAGCAUCUGAUCCUUUUAUGGGAUUUCUGGUUCUUAUACACAAAAAGACUCAAUAAGCUCAUUAAGGUUAUUCUAAAAAAAAAUUUUUUUUAAAGAUUUUGUUGAUAUAUUUGAGAGAGCAAGCAUGAGCAGGGGAGAGGGGCAGAAUGAGAGAGACAAGCAUACUCCCCAUUGAGUGCAGAAUCCAAUGCAGGGCAAUCCCCAGGCCCUGAGAUCAUGACCUGAGCAGAAGUCAGAUGCUUAAUUUUAACAACUGAGCCACCCAGGUGCCCCUAGGUUGUUCCAGUAUUUGAAGGAGGAAAGAAUAAAAGUUUGGACGACUAGAAAAUCUCUAAAUGUAUGUUAAAAAGUUUAACUCAGAGCUGUUCCCUAUCCAUUUACUUUCAAACACCACCUUAAAAUUGUUUUAAUCCCAUUAUUGUUGAAUGGUCAGGGAAUUCAAGACAAAUGUGCAUUCAGAACAUUAUUAACUUAAAUGUGUAAUUAGCAGAAAUUAUACAUUUGAAAUAAUGUUGCUAUUGUUCUACUAAAUCUGUCAUUUAAAAGUA